AUUGAACGCUGGCGGCAGGCUUAACACAUGCAAGUCGAGCGGAGAUGAGGUGCUUGCACCUUAUCUUAGCGGCGGACGGGUGAGUAAUGCUUAGGAAUCUGCCUAUUAGUGGGGGACAACAUUCCGAAAGGAAUGCUAAUACCGCAUACGCCCUACGGGGGAAAGCAGGGGAUCUUCGGACCUUGCGCUAACAGAUGAGCCUAAGUCGGAUUAGCUAGUUGGUGGGGUAAAGGCCUACCAAGGCGACGAUCUGUAGCGGGUCUGAGAGGAUGAUCCGCCACACUGGGACUGAGACACGGCCCAGACUCCUACGGGAGGCAGCAGUGGGGAAUAUUGGACAAUGGGCGGAAGCCUGAUCCAGCCACGCCGCGUGUGUGAAGAAGGCCUUUUGGUUGUAAAGCACUUUAAGCGAGGAGGAGGCUACCUGGAUUAAUACUCUAGGAUAGUGGACGUUACUCGCAGAAUAAGCACCGGCUAACUCUGUGCCAGCCGCCGCAGUAAAAC
rnacentral:rRNA from 1 species